rnacentral:rRNA from 1 species
GUCCACGCCCUAAACUAUGUCAACUGGUUGUCGGGGGAUUAACUCCCUUGGUAACGAAGCUAACGCGUGAAGUUGACCGCCUGGGGAGUACGGCCGCAAGGUUAAAACUCAAAGGAAUUGACGGGGACCCGCACAAGCGGUGGAUUAUGUGGAUUAAUUCGAUGCAACGCGAAAAACCUUACCUACCCUUGACAUGUACGGAAUCUCCCAGAGAUGGGAGGGUGCCCCGAAAGGGAACCGUAACACAGGUGCUGCAUGGCUGUCGU